AUACGUAGGUGGCAAGCGUUAUCCGGAUUUAUUGGGCGUAAAGGGUGCGCAGGCGGUCUGUUUAGUCUGAGGUGAAAGCGUUGAGCUCAACUCAAUUAAGCCUUAGAUACUGGCAGACUAGAGUGCAGAAGAGGGUUAUGGAAUUCCAUGUGUAGCGGUAAAAUGCGUAGAUAUAUGGAGGAACACCGGCGGCGAAGGCGGUAACCUGGUCUGUUACUGACGCUCAGGCACGAAAGCGUGGGGAGCAAAUAGGAUUAGAUACCCUAGUAGUCCACGCCCUAAACGAUGAUUACUAAAUGUUGGGGAAACUCAGUGUUGUAGCUAACGCAAUAAGUAAUCCGCCUGGGGAGUAUGCACGCAAGGUUGAAACUCAAAGGAAUUGACGGGG
rnacentral:rRNA from 1 species